rnacentral:rRNA from 1 species
AGAGUUUGAUCCUGGCUCAGGACGAACGCUGGCGGCGUGCUUAACACAUGCAAGUCGAACGGGGUGUUUAUUUCGGUAAACACCAAGUGGCGAACGGGUGAGUAACGCGUAAGCAAUCUACCUUCAAGAUGGGGACAACACUUCGAAAGGGGUGCUAAUACCGAAUGAAUGUAAGAGUAUCGCAUGAGACACUUACUAAAGGAGGCCUCUGAAAAUGCUUCCGCUUGAAGAUGAGCUUGCGUCUGAUUAGCUAGUUGGUGAGGGUAAAGGCCCACCAAGGCGACGAUCAGUAGCCGGUCUGAGAGGAUGAACGGCCACAUUGGGACUGAGACACGGCCCAGACUCCUACGGGAGGCAGCAGUGGGGAAUCUUCCGCAAUGGGCGAAAGCCUGACGGAGCAACGCCGCGUGAACGAAGAAGGUCUUAGGAUCGUAAAGUUCUGUUGUUAGGGACGAAGGGUAAGAAUCAUAAUAAGGUUUUUAUUUGACGGUACCUAACGAGGAAGCCACGGCUAACUACGUGCCAGCAGCCGCGGUAAUACGUAGGCGGCAAGCGUUGUCCGGAAUUAUUGGGCGUAAAGGGAGCGCAGGCGGGAAACUAAGCGGAUCUUAAAAGUGCGGGGCUCAACCCCGUGAUGGGGUCCGAACUGGUUUUCUUGAGUGCAGGAGAGGAAAGCGGAAUUCCCAGUGUAGCGGUGAAAUGCGUAGAUAUUGGGAAGAACACCAGUGGCGAAGGCGGCUUUCUGGACUGUAACUGACGCUGAGGCUCGAAAGCUAGGGUAGCGAACGGGAUUAGAUACCCCGGUAGUCCUAGCCGUAAACGAUGGAUACUAGGUGUGGGAGGUAUCGACCCCUUCCGUGCCGGAGUUAACGCAAUAAGUAUCCCGCCUGGGGAGUACGGCCGCAAGGUUGAAACUCAAAUGAAUUGACGG